UGCCGAUGAUGUAAUCUAAUAUUUGCUACUCUUGAUUAACGAAAAUGAUCAGUAACCACCAAGAUCUCUGAGGCU